AACGAACGCUGGCGGCAUGCCUAACACAUGCAAGUCGAACGAGACCUUCGGGUCUAGUGGCGCACGGGGGUGUAACGCGGGGGAAGCGGCCCUUAGGUUCGGAAUAACUCCCCGUAAGGGGUGCUAACACCGGAUAAUGUCUUCGGACAAAAGAUAUAUCGUGCUUGGUUGGGCCGGCGUUGGUUUAGCUAGUUGGUAGGGUAAGAGCCUACCAAGGCGUGGAUCCAUAGCUGGUUAGAGAGGAAGGGCAGCGACACUGGGGCUGGGACACGGCCCAGACUCCUACGGGAGGCAGCAGUGGGGGAUAUUGGACAAUCGGCGGAGGCAUGAACCAGCAAGGCCGGGAGAGUGAUGAAGUCCUUAAAGAAGUAAAGCUCUUUUACCCGGGAUGAUAAUGACGGUACCGAAAGAAUAAGCACCGGCUAACUCCGUG
rnacentral:rRNA from 1 species